GGGCCCGCACAAGCAGCGGAGCAUGUGGUUUAAUUCGAAGCAACGCGAAGAACCUUACCUAGACUUGACAUCUCCUGCAUUACUCUUAAUCGAGGAAGUCCCUUCGGGGACAGGAAGACAGGUGGUGCAUGGUUGUCGUCAGCUCGUGUCGUGAGAUGUUGGGUUAAGUCCCGCAACGAGCGCAACCCUUAUUGUUAGUUGCUACCAUUUAGUUGAGCACUCUAGCGAGACUGCCCGGGUUAACCGGGAGGAAGGUGGGGAUGACGUCAAAUCAUCAUGCCCCUUAUGUCUAGGGCUACACACGUGCUACAAUGGCAAGUACAAAGAGAAGCAAGACCGCGAGGUGGAGCAAAACUCAAAAACUUGUCUCAGUUCGGAUUGUAGGCUGAAACUCGCCUACAUGAAGCUGGAGUUGCUAGUAAUCGCGAAUCAGCAUGUCGCGGUGAAUACGUUCCCGGGCCUU
rnacentral:rRNA from 1 species